rnacentral:sRNA from 1 species
UGGCAUAUCUCAAACUUUGUAAAAUUAUAAUGGCAUGGUUCCAAUUUACCUUUUCUUUUCUU